GACGUAGGGCGCGAGCGUUGUCCGGAUUUAUUGGGCGUAAAGAGCUCGUAGGCGGUUUGUCGCGUCGUCCGUGAAAACUCACAGCUUAACUGUGAGCUUGCGGUCGAUACGGGCAGACUAGAGUGAUGUAGGGGAGACUGGAAUUCCUGGUGUAGCGGUGAAAUGCGCAGAUAUCAGGAGGAACACCGAUGGCGAAGGCAGGUCUCUGGGCAUUAACUGACGCUGAGGAGCGAAAGCAUGGGGAGCGAACAGG
rnacentral:rRNA from 1 species